rnacentral:rRNA from 1 species
GACCUGGCCGAUCUUGAGUAUCCAUUCACGGAAGAAGAAAUCCUUCGAGCAGUAAGGGCGCUCCCCCGUGGCAAGGCACCAGGACAUGAUGGCUUCACCUCGGAAUUCCUCGUUGCCUGUUGGCACACGAUCAAAGCUGACAUCUGCGAGGUGUUCGAAAAAUUCUACUCUAUGAAUGGGCGCAGCUUGCAGCGCCUCAACGAGGCCCUCAUCACCCUCCUGCCGAAAAAACAAGACCCCUCCGCCCUCUCAGACUACCGGCCUAUCAGCUUGGUCCACCUUAUUGCUAAGCUCAUCGCCAAAGUCCUCUCGCUUCGACUCGCUCCCUGGCUGAGCCAGCUCGUGUCCACUAGCCAGAGCGCGUUUAUUGCCGGUCGUUGUGUGCAUGAUAACUACAUGCUUGUCCAGCAGAUCGCUCGCCAACUUCACAACCUACGGGCUCCUAGGGUGCUCCUCAAGCUCGACAUCGCGCGCGCUUUCGACACGGUCUCCUGGCCCUUCAUCAUCGACGUCCUUCAUCACCUGGGCUUUGGUAGGCGCUGGAUCGAAUGGAUCACCAUCCUACUCUCCACCUCCAGCACGCGCGUCCUCAUCAACAGGUCCCCCGGCCCCCCGAUCACCCUCGCCUGUGGCCUGCGGCAAGGAGACCCUAUCUCCCCGAUGCUAUUCACGAUGGCCAUCGAUGUCCUCAACUCCUUACUUGUGCAUGCCCAUCGGCGUGGACUUCUGCAACGUCUCACAGCCCGCCACGCUGCAUCGAGCAUUUCUCUCUACGCCAACGACGUCAUCGUGUUCUGCCACCCCUCGCACCGUGACCUACGGGUCAUCUGUGAGCUUCUGCGAGUCUUUGGGGUGGCAUCCGGCUUUGCACCAACUUUUCGAAGUGCUCGGCCACGCCCAUUCACUGUGGGGAAGAGGAGAUCGCAUGCAUGUUGGAAAUAUGCCCUAGAGGCAAUAAUAAAAGGAUUAUUAUUAUAUUUCCUUGUUCAUGAUAAUUGUCUAUUGUUCAUGCUUUAA